GAUGAACGCUGGCGGCGUGCCUAAUACAUGCAAGUCGAGCGAACGGACGAGAAGCUUGCUUCUCUGAUGUUAGCGGCGGACGGGUGAGUAACACGUGGAUAACCUACCUAUAAGACUGGGAUAACUUCGGGAAACCGGAGCUAAUACCGGAUGAUAUUUUGAACCGCAUGGUUCAAAAGUGAAAGACGGUCUUGCUGUCACUUAUAGAUGGAUCCGCGCUGCAUUAGCUAGUUGGUAAGGUAACGGCUUACCAAGGCAACGAUGCAUAGCCGACCGGAGAGGGUGAUCGGCCACACUGGAACGGAGACACGGUCCAGACUCCUAAGGGAGGCAGCAGUAGGGAAUCUUCGGCAAUGGGCGAAAGCCUGACGGAGCGGCGCCGCGUGAGUGAUGAAGGUCUUCGGAGCGUAAAACUCUGUUAUUAGGGAAGAACAGAUGUGUAAGUAACUGUGCACAGCUUGACGGUACCUAAUCAGAAAGCCACGGCUAACUACGUG
rnacentral:rRNA from 1 species